rnacentral:lncRNA from 1 species
AAACCCGUCCACUGCAGCAAGUUAAACCCACCAUACAAUAAAAUUUGCAAUAGCAUGACAUGGCAAUUAUUUUAUUUUAUUUUACAGCCUUUCAAGGCAAAUCAACAAUUUAUACAUUUCCAACACAUUUAUCAAAUCAACCAUUCAUGCCAAUAUUGCCAUAAGCCAAUCAAUUAGAAUCAUGAAUUUACAACACACAAAAACAGUCUCCAAUUACUCUAUUUUCAAACCAUCAUUCAAUUUUAAAACAAUUUUAUGAAAUCAUUUCAUUAAAUCACAUUUUGUUUAUAAAAUCAAAAAAUUAAUCAUUUAAUUCAUUUUCCAUAAAAUUCAC